AGAGUUUGAUCAUGGCUCAGAUUGAACGCUGGCGGCAGGCUUAACACAUGCAAGUCGAGCGGAGAUGAGGUGCUUGCACCUUAUCUUAGCGGCGGACGGGUGAGUAAUGCUUAGGAAUCUGCCUAUUAGUGGGGGACAACAUUCCGAAAGGAAUGCUAAUACCGCAUACGUCCUACGGGAGAAAGCAGGGGAUCUUCUGACCUUGCGCUAAUAGAUGAGCCUAAGUCGGAUUAGCUAGUUGGUGGGGUAAAGGCCUACCAAGGCGACGAUCUGUAGCGGGUCUGAGAGGAUGAUCCGCCACACUGGGACUGAGACACGGCCCAGACUCCUACGGGAGGCAGCAGUGGGGAAUAUUGGACAAUGGGGGGAACCCUGAUCCAGCCAUGCCGCGUGUGUGAAGAAGGCCUUAUGGUUGUAAAGCACUUUAAGCGAGGAGGAGGCUACUGAGACUAAUACUCUUGGAUAGUGGACGUUACUCGCAGAAUAAGCACCGGCUAACUCUGUGCCAGCAGCCGCGGUAAUACAGAGGGUGCGAGCGUUAAUCGGAUUUACUGGGCGUAAAGCGUGCGUAGGCGGCUUUUUAAGUCGGAUGUGAAAUCCCCGAGCUUAACUUGGGAAUUGCAUUCGAUACUGGGAAGCUAGAGUAUGGGAGAGGAUGGUAGAAUUCCAGGUGUAGCGGUGAAAUGCGUAGAGAUCUGGAGGAAUACCGAUGGCGAAGGCAGCCAUCUGGCCUAAUACUGACGCUGAGGUACGAAAGCAUGGGGAGCAAACAGGAUUAGAUACCCUGGUAGUCCAA
rnacentral:rRNA from 1 species